AAAGCAAGAAAAGAAAACUUAACAAAAAUCAGUUAAGCCGUGUUUAAAAUCAAAUUAUAUAAAGAUGAAUUUCUCAACAAUGUUGCUUUUGUUCACCUUCUCCGUUUUCAUGGUGGUUUCUUCCAUUCAUUGCCAAACAAUUGAUCUCGUUCCGGGCAACUUUGCACCGGACGAACCCUCCAUUUGCUUCAAUCCUUGCACUGUUAAACUUGGCGACAAAGAGUGCAAAACGAUUUGUUUGAAUAAGACAUACAAAGAUGGUUCUUGUAUUGGUUUUGGAAUCCCCACUUCUCUCAAGUAUUGUUGUUGUACAAAAUGAUUUAUACAUGAGUGUUUGAACAAUUAGAGAAUAAAGCAAAGUCUUUGUUACUUA